AGCGGAUGAGAGGAGCUUGCUCCUGGAUUCAGCGGCGGACGGGUGAGUAAUGCCUAGGAAUCUGCCUGGUAGUGGGGGACAACGUUUCGAAAGGAACGCUAAUACCGCAUACGUCCUACGGGAGAAAGCAGGGGACCUUCGGGCCUUGCGCUAUCAGAUGAGCCUAGGUCGGAUUAGCUAGUUGGUGAGGUAAUGGCUCACCAAGGCGACGAUCCGUAACUGGUCUGAGAGGAUGAUCAGUCACACUGGAACUGAGACACGGUCCAGACUCCUACGGGAGGCAGCAGUGGGGAAUAUUGGACAAUGGGCGAAAGCCUGAUCCAGCCAUGCCGCGUGUGUGAAGAAGGUCUUCGGAUUGUAAAGCACUUUAAGUUGGGAGGAAGGGCAGUAAAUUAAUACUUUGCUGUUUUGACGUUACCGACAGAAUAAGCACCGGCUAACUCUGUGCCAGCAGCCGCGGUAAUACAGAGGGUGCAAGCGUUAAUCGGAAUUACUGGGCGUAAAGCGCGCGUAGGUGGUUUGUUAAG
rnacentral:rRNA from 1 species